rnacentral:rRNA from 1 species
AUGGCGCCGUUUUGUGCUGCGCAGGAGGCGGCCGUGCGGACGUGCACGUACACGGUGAAGGUGAAGACGAGCUGCGCGUCGCCGGCGCGGACGUCGGACGCGGUCAGCGUGGCGUUCGGGGAUGCGUACCGCAACGAGGCGUACGGCGCGCGCCUCCCGAGCGCGCCGGGCGGGAGGGCCUUCGAGCGGUGCGGCACCGACACCUUCCGCGUCUCCGGGGUGUGCGGCUACGGCGUCGGCUACCUCUACCUCCGCCGCGCCGGCCGCGACGGCUGGGCGCCCGAGUGGGUCCAGGUCACCGAGCCGGGCCCCGGCGCCGGAGAGAAGCCCGCCACCUUCUACUUCGGGGCGCCGCUGCCGGACGGCGUCUGGUACGGCCACAACCGCUGCCCCAAGGCCAAGGCCAAGGCGGCGGCGGCGGCUCGGACAAACACCACCUCUGCUGCUGCUUCGCCUCUGGGCUAG